rnacentral:rRNA from 1 species
GACGAACGCUGGCGGCGUGCUUAACACAUGCCAGUCGAACGGAAAGGCCCUGCUUUUGUGGGGUGCUCGAGUGGCGAACGGGUGAGUAACACGUGAGUAACCUGCCCUUGACUUUGUGAUAACUUCAGGAAACUGGGGCUAAUACCGGAUAGGAGCUCCUGCUGCUUGGUGGGGGUUGGAAAGUUUCGGCGGUUGGGGAUGGACUCGCGGCUUAUCAGCUUGUUGGUGGGGUAGUGGCUUACCAAGGCUUUGACGGGUAGCCGGACUGAGAGGGUGACCGGCGAAAUUGGGACUGAGAUACGGCACAGACUGCAACGGGAGGCAGCAGUGGGGAAUAUUGCACAAUGGGCGGAAGCCUGAUGCAGCAACGCCGCGUGCGGGAUGACGGCCUUCGGGUUGUAAACCGAUUUCGCCUGUGACGAAGCGUGAGUGACGGUAAUGGGUAAAGAAGCACCGGCUAACUACGUG